AUUGAACGCUGGCGGCAUGCCUUACACAUGCAAGUCGAACGGCAGCGGGGACUUCGGUCCGCCGGCGAGUGGCGAACGGGUGAGUAAUGUAUCGGAACGUACCAUUGAGUGGGGGAUAACGUAGCGAAAGUUACGCUAAUACCGCAUAUUCUCUCCGGAGGAAAGCAGGGGACCGCAAGGCCUUGCGCUCUUUGAGCGGCCGAUAUCAGAUUAGCUAGUUGGGGAGGUAAAGGCUGACCAAGGCGACGAUCUGUAGCGGGUCUGAGAGGAUGAUCCGCCACACUGGAACUGAGACACGGUCCAGACUCCUACGGGAGGCAGCAGUGGGGAAUUUUGGACAAUGGGGGCAACCCUGAUCCAGCCAUGCCGCGUGAGUGAAGAAGGCCUUCGGGUUGUAAAGCUCUUUCGGCCGGGAAAAAAUCGCAUGGGCUAAUACCCUGUGUGGAUGAUGGUACCGGAAUAAGAAGCACCGGCUAACUACGUGCCAGCCGCCGCUGUAA
rnacentral:rRNA from 1 species